AGAAGAAGUCCUGGCUAACUCCGUGCCAGCAGCCGCGGUAAUACGGAGAGGGCUAGCGUUAUUCGGAAUUAUUGGGCGUAAAGGGCGCGUAGGCGGGUUAGUAAGUUAAAAGUGAAAUCCCAAGGCUCAACCUUGGAAUUGCUUUUAAAACUGCUAACCUAGAGAUUGAAAGAGGAUAGAGGAAUUCCUAGUGUAGAGGUGAAAUUCGUAAAUAUUAGGAGGAACACCAGUGGCGAAGGCGUCUAUCUGGUUCAAAUCUGACGCUGAUGCGCGAAGGCGUGGGGAGCAAACAGGAUUAGAUACCCUGGUAGUCCACGCUGUAAACGAUGAAUGUUAAAUAUGGGGAGUUUACUUUCUGUAUUACAGCUAACGCGUUAAACAUUCCGCCUGGGGACUACGGUCGCAAGAUUAAAACUCAAAGGAAUUGACGGGGACCCGCACAAGCGGUGGAGCAUGUGGUUUAAUUCGAUGCAACGCGAAAAACCUUACCACUCCUUGACAUGGAAAUUAUACCUAUUCGAAGGGAUAGGGUCGGUUCGGCCGGGUUUCACACAGGUGUUGCAUGGCUGUCGUCAGCUCGUGUCGUGAGAUGUUGGGUUAAGUCCCGCAACGAGCGCAACCCUCAUCCUUAGUUACCAUCAGGUAAUGCUGGGGACUUUAAGGAAACUGCCAGUGAUAAACUGGAGGAAGGUGGGGAUGAUGUCAAGUCAUCAUGGCCCUUAUGGAGUGGGCUACACACGUGCUACAAUGGUGGCUACAAUGGGCUGCAAAGUCGCGAGGCUAAGCUAAUCCCUUAAAAGCCAUCUCAGUUCGGAUUGUACUCUGCAACUCGAGUGCAUGAAGUUGGAAUCGCUAGUAAUCGUGGAUCAGCACGCCACGGUGAAUACGUUCUCGGGUCUUGUACACACUGCCCGUCACGCCAUGGGAAUUGGUUUCACUCGAAGCUAACGACCUAACCGCAAGGAGGGA
rnacentral:rRNA from 1 species